CCUACGGGAGGCAGCAGUGAGGAAUAUUGGUCAAUGGACGAGAGUCUGAACCAGCCAAGUAGCGUGAAGGAUGACUGCCCUAUGGGUUGUAAACUUCUUUUAUAUGGGAAUAAAAUGUUCCACGUGUGGGAUUUUGUAUGUACCAUAUGAAUAAGGAUCGGCUAACUCCGUGCCAGCAGCCGCGGUAAUACGGAGGAUCCGAGCGUUAUCCGGGUUUAUUGGGUUUAAAGGGAGCGUAGGUGGAUUGGUAAGUCAGUUGUGAAAGUUUGCGGCUCAACCGUAAAAUUGCAGUUGAAACUGGCAGUCUUGAGUACAGUAGAGGUAGGCGGAAUUCGUGGUGUAGCGGUGAAAUGCAUAGAUAUCACGAAGAACUCCGAUUGCGAAGGCAGCUCACUGGACUGCAACUGACACUGAGGCUCGAAAGUGUGGGGAUCAAACAGGAUUAGAUACCCGGGUAGUC
rnacentral:rRNA from 1 species